GGAAACGAAGAAAGGGAGUGGGAGAAUCGAUGACUGGACCUCUAAUAGAUGUUGGACGACUUAAAAAAAAAAAAAAAAGUAUCGGCCCUACCCUCGAGGAUUUGACAAAUUAAGCUGGCCAGAGUGAUAAGAGAUACAGGCAGAAGAGGAGACAUAGAGGAGAAGGUGACAUGAAAAGGGAGGCAGAGAUCACAGUGAUGUGGCUAUAAGCCAAGGAAUACCAAAGCCAUCAGAAGCUGGAAGAGAUUUUCUUCCGCCUCUGCCAUCUCUGAGACAGCAAGACCAACCCCUUCUCUUCCUCCUCCUCAGCCUACUCAACAUGAAGACAAGGAUGAAGAUCU